rfam:Ictidomys tridecemlineatus contig008030, whole genome shotgun sequence.
GGGGUUGUAGCUCAGUUGGUGGAGUGCUUGCCUCCCAUGCACAAGGCCCUGGGUUCAAUCCCCAGCACCCCCC